UGUUAACACCAAGAAGAAUUCUGACCCUGCCCAGGACUACACCAGAGCAGCUGAAGCUGAGGAAAGAUGAUGUGACAAGUCAUGAUGACAACUCUGUAUACUACAUUAUCAAGUGAUGAACAUGCCCAUUGCAAACUCACCUGAAGAUGCAAGAGCAUAAAAAAGGUCCUAGCAUAGGAAGGAAAAGAGAAGAAAAAGCAUUCACCAAGGAUACACCGGACCAAUGAGACUGCAAAAGAAGAAAGUGACUUUGUGUGUGUGUGAUUACCGGUAAAAUAAAAAUAGGAAACUGCCAUCAAAAUAAAUACUUUUAUGUUUUAAUAAAUCUUUA